rnacentral:rRNA from 1 species
CAAUAGCGUAUAUUAAAGUUGUUGCAGUUAAAAAGCUCGUAGUUGGAUUUCUGGUUGAAGCGACCGGUCGGGCGUUGAUUCGUCUGCACUGGAGUCGGUUUUGGCCAUCCUCUAGGAAAGUGCGUCUGGUAUUAAGUUAUCGGGCGUAUGAUCCUGGUCUUUUACUGUGAAAAAAUUAGAGUGUUCAAAGCAGGCUUAUGCCGUUGAAUAUAUUAGCAUGGAAUAAUAAGAUAGGACUUUGGUACUAUUUUGUUGGUUUGCGCACCAAAGUAAUGAUUAAUAGGGACAGUUGGGGGUAUUCGUAUUCCGUUGUCAGAGGUGAAAUUCUUGGAUUUACGGAAGACGAACUACUGCGAAAGCAUUUACCAAGGAUGUUUUCAUUAA